GACGAACGCUGGCGGCGUGCUUAACACAUGCAAGUCGAACGGAAAGGCCCUGCUUUUGUUGGGUGCUCGAGUGGCGAACGGGUGAGUAACACGUGAGUAACCUGCCCUUGACUUUGGGAUAACUUCAGGAAACUGGGGCUAAUACCGGAUCGGAGCUCCUGCUGCAUGGUGGGGGUUGGAAAGUUUCGGCGGUUGGGGCUGGACUCGCGGCUUAUCAGCUUGUUGGUGGGGUAGUGGCUUACCAAGGCUUUGACGGGUAGCCGGCCUGAGAGGGUGUCCGGCCACAGUGGGACUGAGAUACGGCCCAGACUCCUACGGGAGGCAGAAGGUUGGAAUAUUGCACAAUGGGCGGAAGCCUUAUGCAGCACCGCCGCUAGCGGGAUGACGGCCUUCUGGUUGUAAACCGCUUGCGACUGUGACGAAGCGUGAGUGACGGUAAUGUGUAAAGAAGCCCCGGCCAACUACGUG
rnacentral:rRNA from 1 species